GGGCGGAUACUCUAAGUGGACAAAAGGGGGUGACUGUAAAUCACCUGGCUAUAUGCCUUCGGGGGUUCGAAUCCCUCUCCGCCCA
rnacentral:tRNA from 1 species